CAGUUUGGUUAUUAGUUAUAAGUCUUUUUAUUAGUUAUAGAUCUGUUGAUAGCCUAUGUUAAAACAAGGACAAAUAAUGUUUUUUCAGACUACCCGGAGACAGAUCCAGCAGAAUCGGGAAAGCUAGAGGGAAAAAGUCACACACCCCCGGUUUCGGCGAUUCGUCACAACAAGCGCCAAAAAAGCCGAGACUCCGGCGAAAAACGGCACAGACGACCACAUAAAUCUAGAGCUGGGGGAUUCCGGCGCCCCGAGCAUUCCGAAUGAAACACCCGAGAGACCUGUUUUUAAUGACAUGUCAGAUGUUGAUGACCAGCUAUUCUGUGAUGCGGCCAACCUUAUAGACCCAGUCAAUUCUACGGCCUCAAUACCUGCAGACGAACAAGAAAGGUUUUUCACAUUAUUUUCCAGGGCUUUGAAAUCGAGGAAUGUUUUGCUAUACAAACGACUGGGGGAUUUAAUUGAGAGACAGUACAGAGACGAUAUGUUAUUCUGGCAUAGAACAAUUCCACGCAUGUUAAACAGCAACCCCAUUAAAAAACGCAAAUACAGACGCUAAAAUCAUACAUGUAACACCAACCAUUACAGAAAGAAAAAAAAACGAACACUCUUAAUUAUCCAAAAAUGGCAGAACUAACGCAACACGGGGAGACAGUUGAAAGCCUCUUAUCCCAGAUUCCAGCCGAACUCCUAGAAGUUAUUAAACAUAUGAACGAGUCAGGAACGUUAGAUGAAAGCAUAUUAACACAGAUUCCAGCCGAACUCUUAGAAAUGAUUAAUCGUAUGAACGAGUCAGGGGCGCCUGAGGAAAACAUGUUAUCCCAGAUUCCCGAAGCCCUCAUAACCUUAAUUAAUCGGAUGAACGAGAGUCAGACAAUUUCAGCCCGACAACCCCAACAGCGAUAGAACAACCCGUAACGCCUAGGUCCGUAGAGUCUGAAACGCCACAAGAUGUUUUUGGGGAAUUGGACAAUUGUCUAAUAAAUCUGGCGGCAGAUGUUCAUGAUAGACGUGUCAGGGUUGUGUACAGGAAUAAAUUCAACAAUACAGAGAUUCGACAGUUUUUCAAUCUCCUAUGUGUGAAUCAGAAUCUUGACUAUGCUGUAUUUUACAUGAUGAUAAUGGACACUCUGAAUGACCUGUUAGAAACCGCAAGAGAUUAUGGCGAACCUCGUGAUGUCUUACAGUUGGAAAUAUGUGGAGAUAGCCUGCAUAAUACAGUAUCUCUUAUUUUACCCAAUGGCGAAGCAGAUCUUGAACAAUUUACAGCGCUGGUAGAACGCCUUGUUCAGUCAAAUUUAGCCAUCAUAGCCGAUCAGACCCUCGAGCUUGUAGUGCAAAUAAUAGGUCAACAGCAGGGGGGUGGUGGGCAGAGAAGGAAGCUUGAUAGCCUAAUGCAGUCAGAAAUCAUAAGCAAUAAAAGGGCCUACCUCAUAAACGUUCACAAUCCCGAUAAUAAGCUAUGUUUUGCAAUUGGCCUAGAGCAUUUACUUAACCCCGGAUGUACUGAUCUGACGGCAUUGCAAAAGGCUAGAGAGAUCCAAACGGCGGUGGGUCUCGGGACCCAUGAAGGCGUGGCAUUCUCAGACAUUGUCAAAUUUGAAAACCUUCUGAAUAUCAAGAUUGUGGUUUUGUACCACAGUAGAGCUAAUGCCGCUCUCUUGAAGUUCCAAAACACCCCCCAACCGCACCCUCAGAUUCUGUACUUUUAUGUGCAAAACGAACAUUACUAUGCUGUUACAAACAUCACGGCGUUCCUAGGGGCACCCUAUGUGUGUAGAUCCUGCCAUACCGGCUACACCCGAAAGGGGGGGCACUCGUGCCGUUAUAACUGUUCUGUAUGUCAGGAUGCACAGUGCCCUAUGCAAACCUUAAACUUGACACCAUGUGCGGAUUGCCAUCGCACAUGUCGUUCGACCUACUGUUACGAUAAACACAAAAUUGAAACAUGGCACCCUAAGGCCUGUAAAUCUGUAAGCAUUUGUGCCAUUAACAAGAAAUGCCCAAAAUGUCAUUGCAAUUACAGCCUUAAAAUAGAUAGCCCUAAACCACAUGUUUGUGGAAUCCUACAGUGUCCAAUCUGUAAAGCGGCUCUGAAAAGCAGAAAUGCUGAAGUGGUUCAAGAAGUGCAACACGAGUGUUAUAUUCAGCCCUUGGCUGAAGAUGAACAUUCAGAGAAAUAUGUGUUCUAUGAUUUUGAGACAAAUCAGCAAUCGGGGGAUCAUUUGCCUAUUUUUGUAUCUACCAUGACAUUCACGGGGGAAAAGUGGUCUGCAGAAGGAUCCAAUUGUGCACUACUCUUUCUAAAACAUUUUAGAAAACCACAGUACCGAAACUUUAUGUUUAUAGGGCACAAUGCUAGAGCCUACGACUCUUACCUUCUUCUGAACCCCUUGAUACAGCAAGGCGUAGCCCCCAGGGUCAUAGCGCAAGGGAGUAAAAUCCUGUGUUUUGUAGAUCCCGCCUUCAACCAGAGAUACAUUGACAGUUUAAGCUUCUUACCCAUGAGAUUGGCUCAAAUGCCAGAGGCCUUGGGUUUUGAAAACUCUGUGAAAGGCUGGUUCCCCCACUUCUUCACAUCUGAGGAGAAUCUACACUAUAUAGGAUCAUAUCCCAGCCCAAAAAUGUACGGGUGUGAUCAAAUGUCUCCCAAAGAGCGAGAGAGAUUCAUGACUUGGUAUGAGACAGUAAGACAUGGCACCUUUGAUUUCCAUAAAGAGAUGGAAUCAUACUGUGACAAUGAUGUGGUUAUACUUCGUGAAGGAUGCCUCAGAUUCAGAGAAGAGGUAAUCAAAGAUGCCGGUAUUGACCCUUGGAGUUGUACAACGAUUGCAUCGGCAUGCAUGAAAACAUACCGUACACACUAUCUGCCUACAUCCUCUAUAGCUAUCCCCUCGCCUGACAACUACCGACGGCAGUUCAAGGAAUACUCUAGUGGGUCCAUUCAAUGGCUAGAGUAUAUGGCCCAGGAUAAAGACAUUUUUAUUCAACAUGCUUUGAAUCGAGGGGAGAAGGCAUUUGGCUCUUACCAUGUAGAUGGCUACACCCAGAUUGACGGGGUUGAGACCGUGUAUGAGUACAACGGUUGUUUCUUCCAUGGUUGCAAAUCUUGCUUUGUGCCCCAGAACAUGUGUGUCCUAACCCAAAAGACUUUUGGGGAAAUGUACCAAGAGUUUCAAGACAAAGUUGAUUCGUUACAGGCUACUUACGGUCUAAAAGUGGUUGUUUUGUGGGAGCACGAAUGGACAGCCCUCAAAAAGUCUGAUCCUCAUGUUCAAGCAUUCCUUUCCAGCUUUGACACCCCAGAACCUCUGGAGCCAAGACAGGCCUUGUAUGGCGGCCGUACCAAUGCUUUGACAUUGAGGUAUGUAGCGCAACCCGACGAGACAAUAGGCUAUGUGGAUUUUACAUCCCUUUAUCCGCAUGUAAUGAGUUCCUCAUGCUAUCCUAUAGGUCAUCCUGAAAUUAUUCAUCGUGAUUUUGACUUACCUCAAAACUAUUUUGGUCUGAUCAAAGCAACAGUCUACCCUCCAAGGGGUUUGUUUAUACCUGUGUUGCAUUACAGGGGCCCUCAAGGAAAACUUUUCUUUCCCCUUUGUCGCACCUGCAGUGAAAACAUACAACAAACCCCAUGUGAUCACACCGAUCAAGAAAGAGCACUGACAGGUGUAUGGGUCACAGCUGAAUUCUCUAAGGCUUUAGAGAUGGGGUAUCGUGUGGUCAAAAUCUUUGAAGUAUGGAACUUUUCAAAGAAAUCAGACACUCUUUUUAAAGAAUACAUCAAGACCUUCUUGAGAUGUAAGCAAAUGGCUUCAGGCUAUCCUGCAUCGGUCACAGAUCAAGAAAGUAAAGACAGGUACAUUCAAGACUAUCAUGACAGAGAAGGCAUCCUUCUUGACCCUGACAGAAUAGAGGUCAACAAAACCAAACGAAAUGUGUCAAAAUUGUACCUAAAUUCGCUUUGGGGCAAAUUAGCACAGAGAAAUUUCAUAUUUUUCAUUCUUGAGUCAAGACAUUGCCUUGGUUCAAUGGCGACGUAACAAGAAGUGGGUUCUACCCCCGUGUAAUGUAAAUGUGUUUCUUGCAGCAUUUACCACGGCCUAUGGCCGACUUGAACUGUACAAGCUCAUGGAGCAGCUUCAGAGGCGGGUACUUUACCACGACACAGACUCUGUGGUCUAUGUAAGCAUACCGGGGGAUUGGAGUCCCCACUCAGCAACUACCUGGGUGGCUUAACGAGUGAACUCGCAGAGGGUGACCAUAUCACAGAAUGGUCAUCAUGUGGGCCCAAAAGCUAUGCUUUUAGAACGCUAAAGAAUCACGUGGUAUUGAAAGCCAAAGGAGUGACUCAAAACUAUGAAAAUGCCCAGCGUGUAAACUUGGAAUCAAUCACACGCUUGGUCGAGGGGUUCCUAAAUGACAGGAAUAGUGACUUGGAGAUUUUGAGCUCCUACAAAAAGAUUGUUAGGGAUAAAAAGGGCUUCCAUCUGAGGAAUGCCCCACUCAUUAAAAGAUUCAGGGUUGUCUAUGACAAGAGAGUGCUUUUGCCUGACGGGACCACAUUGCCCUAUGGCUACUGACUUAUGCUACAGUCCGCAGUGUGUCAGGCGUGACUCAAAAAAACUAUGAAAAAAAUACCCCUCGUGUAAAAAACUAGGAAUCAAUCACACGCGUGUUUGAGGGAGGUUCCUAAAUGACAGGAAUAGUGACUUUGAGAUUUAGGAGCUCCUACAAAAAAGAUUGUUGGUUAUAAUAAAGGGCUUCCCUCUGAGGAAUGCCCCACUUACUAAAAGAUUCAGGGUUGUCUAUGACAAGAGACUGCUUUUGCCUGACUGGACCACAUUGCCCCUUUGGCUACUGACUUAUGCUACAAGCUACAGGGUGUCUUAAAGCUUAAGAUAUAAUGACUGCUGUAGAAGGUUUUGACCCCCGGUUGCAACUACCAUUUUCGGCCUUAAUCGCAGGGGCUUCGAAUAGUGGUAAAACUUGUUUUGUAAAAUGUAUUUUUUAAGUAGACUUAAAAAAACAAGUGCAGGGGCCCCCGAAAAUAUCAGACAAACAGCGGAAAAUGAUUUGGAUACGGCCAUGAAGGAUAUUUUGAAUCAAGAAGGCUUGAACCCCUAUGAUAAGGUCCAAAAAUACACAAACCUCUUGCAAAUGUAUUUGUCCUUGGUGAAACAAGGGGAGAGAGAGACAGGCCAUUUAACUAUUUCCCUACAGGACCCUUUGAAAGAUGACGAGCCCAGCGAGAGCCACGCCCCUGUAAUGCCUGUACCUGCGAGCUUACCGUCUGAAGAUCAAAUGCCUGUUGAAGAUAAAGUUAUGCAUGACUUGUUAACCCAUGUUCCGGCACGUAACAGGAAAAAUGUUAGCUACAUUAUGAACAAGCUAAAAGACUCAAAUGGGGCAGCUACUUGGAACGACAAAGGAGAGUUUAUCCUUCAGGGUGCGGUUGUCAAGGGUUCACAUAUACUUGACUUGCUUAAAAGUACCACAUCUGCCCACAAGGUUGCUGAUGACCGAAGACCUCCAGGGUGGCUUCAGUUUCUUAAGGCCCUGGCCAUCCUCAACAUACCCCUCUCGGGUGUACCCAACUAUAAGAUUCGGCAACAGAUUCACUCUUUAAAACACAAACCUUCAACGAGAUACAGCACCCCUAAAGAUGCCCCAAAACCCUCGCAUCCUUAUGAAAUGAAUGACGAUAACCCAUUUACCCCCAUGAACGCCUCCGGACCUUUCCCUAAUCCCGAUCUCUCUGGGUGGUUAGACUUUUGAAUGACUUUUGAAUGACUAUGAUUAAAUUCAAUAAAUUUUAUUUGAAAAAAUAA